ACCCGCUGAACUUAAGCAUAUCAGUAAGCGGAGGAAAAGAAACUAACUAGGAUUCCCCGAGUAGCGGCGAGCGAAAGGGGAGAAGCCCAGCGCCGAAGCCCGCAGCCCCCGGCUGCAGUGCAAUGUGGCGUUUCGGCGGCGACUCGUCGCGGCCGCUCUGGCACGUGUACCUCUGAAUGGGUCUGCCCGCAGCGGGUGUCAGGCCUCUAGGUGCCAAACGAGCGGUCGUGGCCCGUCGUCGUCGCGGAGUCGGGUUGCUUGAGAGUGCAGCCCAAAGUGGGUGGUAAGCUCCAUCUAAGGCUAAAUACCUAGUGCGAGACCGAUAGCAAACAAGUACCGUGAGGGAAAGUUGCAAAGAACUUUGAAAAGAGAGUUCAAGAGUACGUGAAACCGUUCAGAGGCAAACGGACGGAACUGGGCGAGUUCGCCGCCGCCAUUCAGCCGGCGCGCCUCUCGGGGCGCGACGGUGCACUUGGCGGCGGCGGAGCGCGACGACCGCCUGUCGGGUCGUCUGAAGCCCGGCGGCAAGGUGGCGACGCGUUCGCGCGUCGUGUUACAGGCCGCCGCGGCGUUGGCAGACCUGGCGGGCGAGGAGCGCCUGCGGUGCCCUCCCCUCGCGGGAGCGGCCCGCGCGUUGGGCUCGCGGACGUCGGCGGUGAACUGCUCGCAGUUUGUCGUUUGGCGCUCUGCCUGUCUUGGCGCGCGGUGCCGCGCGGCACCCGGGGUCCGGGUCGUGUGGUUCCUGGCACUCCGUCCGACCCGUCUUGAAACACGGACCAAGGAGUUGAGCACGUGCGCAAGUCGAUGGGCUCUGAGAACCCCAGUGGCGCAGCUAAGGCAAAACGGGCGUGAUCCGGCACGUGAUCGUGUCGGCGCAACGCCGGCCCGCAGCCGACUCGUUGCGAGUGGCUGCGGUGCAAGAGCGUGCGUGCUCAGACCCGAAAGGUGGUGAACUAUGCUUGAGCAGGGCGAAGCCAGAGGAAACUCUGGUGGAGGCUCGCAGCGAUCCUGACGUGCAAAUCGGUCGUCAAACUUGAGCAUAGGGGCGAAAGACUAAUCGAACCGCCUAGUAGCUGGUUCCCUCCGAAGUUUCCCUCAGGAUAGCUGGCACUCGGGAUAAAUGGUUUUAUCCGGUAAAGCGAAUGAUUAGAGGCAUUGGGGACGAAACGUCCUCAACCUAUUCUCAAACUUUAAAUGGGUAAGAGGCGCGACCCUUCCUGAUCGGGGUCGCGUGCUUGAACAGAGAGUGCCCAGUGGGCCGUUUUUGGUAAGCAGAACUGGCGCUGUGGGAUGAACCAAACGUGCGGUUAGGGUGCCUAACGCACGCUCAUGAGACACCACAAAAGGUGUUGGUUGAUAUAGACAGCAGGACGGUGGCCAUGGAAGUCGGAAUCCGCUAAGGAGUGUGUAACAACUCACCUGCCGAAUCAACUAGCCCUGAAAAUGGAUGGCGCUGGAGCGUGCGACCCAUACCGCACCGUCGGGGCAAUGCGUGCGAAAUGCCAGGCCCCGACGAGUAGGAGGGCGCAUUGGUGGCGCUGAAGCGUAGUGCGUGAGCACGCGUGGAGCCGCCUUUGGUGCAGAUCUUGGUGGUAGUAGCAAGUAUACAAAUGAGAACUUUGUAGACCGAAGUGGAGAAGGGUUCCAUGUGAACAGCAGUUGGACAUGGGUCAGUCGGCCCUAAGAGAUCGGAAAAUUCCGUUCUGAACGGGGAAGUGGUGAGCAGUGCGUGCCUGGUGCACGCGCGCUGGUGCGCUGCAGCGCCGGAGAAUCUCAAUUGGCGUCCGAGGGCGACUUCAGAGCGGGAGUCGCGUCGUGUGCUCGAGCCAUGUGCGCGCGCGCCGUCAAAGCUGGGUAAAGGAAUUGACGGAGCGCGGCCGCGCGUCACUGGCCCGCAAAAGCACGGCCCCCCCAUAAUAUUAUGGCAGGGGGGGCGGCGACGCGGCGACACAGCCGCCGCAAGCUCUCGGACGUUGCAACCCGCUCAGCUGAGAUCAAUGAGCAACCGGCGCGGGCGUGCCGGCGCGUGUCUCCACACGCGCGGCCGACCGCUAGUGUGCUACCCCGAUGCGAUCGAAAGGGAAUCGGGUUAAUAUUCCCGAACCUGGCAGUGGAGAUUGGGCCCUCGGGCCCCAGUGCGGUAACGCAACCGAACUCGGAGACGCCAGCGUCGAUCCCGGGAAGAGUUCUCUUUUCUUUGUUAGGAGCGGACUCCCUGGAAUUGGCUUGUCCAGAGAUAGGGACGUUGCAUCCGUAAAGCGUCGCGCCUCACGCGGCGUCCGGUGCAUCGGCGCUGGCCCUUGAAAAUCCGAGGAAGGCAGUGUAAUUUUCACUCCAGGCCGUACCCGAAUCCGCAGCAGGUCUCCAAGGUGAACAGCCUCUGGUCGAUAGAACAAUGUAGGUAAGGGAAGUCGGCAAAUCCGAUCCGUAACUUCGGGACAAGGAUUGGCUCUGAGGUGCGGGCUGCUUCGGGUCGCGGCAAGAAGCGGACCGCGCGUUGGCUGGACUGGGCGUGCCUCGUGUGCGCUCGGACCGCUGCCAGCGCGCGUCCGUGGGCGGCCGUUGCUUUCGCCGGCGUCGGCCUCGUGUCGGCGUCGGCUUCGUUCGGCCUAAACGCACAGCACAGAACUGGCACGGACUCUGAGAACACGACUGUCUAAUUAAAACAAAGCAUCGCGAUGGCCGCUGGUCGGUGUUGACGCGAUGUGAUUUCUGCCCAGUGCUUUGAAUGUCAAAGUGAAGAAAUUCAACCAAGCGCAGGUAAACGGCGGGAGUAACUAUGAC
rnacentral:rRNA from 1 species